GAAAAGCCCCUGCCCCGCCAUGCGCCACACAGCUCUGUGUAAUUUCCUCUGUGGGUCAGUCCUCCACAGAGGGCUAUGAUGAGGCCAUGACUCAAGCCUUGGCCUGACAUAGACAAGCCACCAGCUGCCUGGCUUCCAGCCGGCUCAUAGGAUGCAAAGUAGGAAUGCCCAUAGUUGCUCCCCACUUCUGCUCCACUUCCAGAUAUGGGCUAGGCAGACAUUCACUAUGGAUCACUCUGGAUCCAAAGCUUGUCAGGUUCUGGAGUGUGACCUCAGCCAGUAUCCAAACAAGACAGCCCUGCUCCUGUGUAGGGUUAAGCUUCAAGUUCCUUCAGCAAGCUGUUAGAGUCAGGCCUUGUGUCUGCAUUCCCGAAGCCUUCCUCUUGAAGCUUUCUUCCACUGAAGCAGUUUUCCAGGACAUUCAGAGACAUGCAGCCACUGACUUAAUUAGUUCUGUGAGACCUCCUACUUUGGGUAUCAAAUAAUUCCAUGCUCAGAGAGACUUGAAGGAAGAAGGGCCUUUGGAUGCUAGCCUACUUCCAGUGCAAAGUGAAACUACUGUCAUGAAAAAGACCCAGCCAGUCUUGGCAAAUACUGAGAAUGCUGCCAACAAAGGAUAAAGGGCCUAUUAAGCCUGUCCCUCGAAUUCCCUGGAGACAGACAGCUCACCUUGGUUUCCUCCUGACCACGGAGGGCACAUCUGUGGGAGGCUAAAGAAUGUCACAGGUAGACAUCUGUUUUAGUUCCUAAAGAAUCAAAAAAAAAAAAAAAGAAUAAAAUAGAAAGGGAAGAUGGAGGGAAGGAGGAGACACAAUGAAGAAGGGGAGGGUAAAGAAAAGAAGGGACACAGAACAGGCACUCCAGUUCUGGGAUGCUCAGCAUAGCAGGACUAGCUGGGUGCUGCAAUCCCAGCACUCAUUAAUGCUAAGAACAGCAAGCUCAUAGGCCAGGCUGCACAGUGAAUUCCAGGCGGUCAUGGCUACACAGUGAGUCCGUCUCAGAAAAACAAAAUACAGAACAACAACAACAAAAACCCAGUGGUCUCUGCUUAGAUUGCUAUCUCCCCCCACCUCCCUAGGGCCUUGCUGCUAAGCAACCGCUCAACCACCGAGCUACAUCCUCAGCCCACCACUUGAAAUGUGAAUGGUCUGAAAUGAAAUAGGCUAUAAUACACACUGGAUUUCAAAGACUUAGUUAGAACAAAAAAGGAGUGGACCUACUUGAGAUCUUUUCUCAAAAAAAAAAAAAAAGCCAGAAUGUAAAAAUUAGUGAAAAUAAUUUUUAUUAAUUACAUGAUUAAAAGUACAUUUUGGAGUUUUUAUUAAAUAAAGUUAAUUUUCC
rnacentral:lncRNA from 1 species